AAAAUGACAUCGAACCACGGGCAGGGCAAAGGUGAUGGAGGAGGGCUCGUGGGAGGCCAGUAUCAGAUCCAGAAACGCUCGGAUACUCUCAAGCCCUCGACUACUGGUGGCUUUCCCAGCACCACGGGUCUCCCUCUUUCCUGUUCCUCCCUUCACCCUCGCCUUGAGGGCCGUGCCCCGAGCAGCUGCUUCUGCACAAGUCUCACUGGGCAGCCAGAACGGACAGCCAAGAUUCUGCAGCUGUGAGGUUACGUGACAUUGUUAAGGUCUCCCAAGUGCCACCAGCAGGGGCUGCAACAGGAAGCCGGACAGUCCAGCCCCAGAGCCCGGGUUCCUCACUCCAACUCUCAACACCCCCUGCAGUUUUCUGUUCAAGCCCCACAAUCAUGGCAAGAGGAGGAAAGAGACUCCAGAUGUGGCUGGAUUUUCUGGCUCCAGGACCCCGGGCUUGACUCCCCUUCUCCUUCCACAAGUGCCCAGAACCCAGGAGGAUGAAGCAGGGUCUGCUGGCUCAGGAAGCACUGCUGUGGCCGCGCAGGCUGGCCUCCUCCAGUCGCAGGAGAGGCUGCCCCAACCGACAGGCUCCCAGGGCUGGACAGGACCGGAUGGGACUCUGGACUUGUCAAGGUCACCAGCGUUCUUGGCUAGGGCGGAAACUUGGGAAAUGAAACCAGCCGUCACCUCGCUGCAACCCGGCCACAGAUUUCCAACGGCCAUGCCAGGCGGGCCUCACCCCUGCCACAGUCUAAGGCCUCUGCCCUCCUCCCUGGGGCCCAGGGGAGCACCGCCAACCUUGCCCCCAGACCCAGUCCAGCGCUGAGACAUGCUCGGAGUAAAGCUGAUGAGAAAGCAGAGGGUUUCUAGCCAACGCCCUGGGAAGCCUGCCAUCGGGAAGCUGACGGUCUCACCGCCUUCUGGAGCAGACGUGGGGCUCACCUCUCCAGCGGGCUUUCCGCAUACUUGGAGGGGUGAGGGGAGGUACUCCAGGGUGGCAUGGUGAGCCAUCCUCUGUCCGCACUGAACCUGCCUGAAGUGAUCUGGUCAGGCUGCCCGGGCAAGUGGCAGACAAGAUGUGUGGUGAGGUCCGAAUUCCAGGCAGGCCCCGUGCACUUCCACAUGACCGAAGGCCCCAGGGCAGGUGGGGUGGCCUCCAAAGGACCCAGGCACGCUGGUCAGCCAUUUGGGACACCAGACUGGGGCCUGGCCCCCUUGAGGACCUCCUGACCAGCUCUUGGCCCAGGAGGGUCCUCAAGCAAGGCCUUCCAGCUGGUAAACCACAGAAUUCACUAGUCUGUGCGGGCAGCUCACAGCGUGGGUGUAGAUCCCUGGCCCGGAUGCAUGCCCAGUCAUAAGCAUUCCUGGCCUUCAUGCCAGGUCCUGAAGCUUUGAAUCUCACACACAAGCAAUUCUAACCCCUGACCAGCAGAGUGUCUUUCCCACCCAGCAUUGCCUCUGAGCAUGGGCACAGCCAGAGAAGGAGACAGAGUAAAUAUCAUUGUUGCUGUUAUACAAAUGGGGCAACUGAGGCUUGGAAAGGCUGAAUGACUCAUCUGAAGUUGCCCAGCAGAGCCAGAGGCAGGAUCCAAGCCUGGCACCCACGACCUGCUUUGCUGUCUCCCUAAAAUCACCCAUCUUGGGACCCUUGGAAUGGGUGCUCCUGGUCCCAUCCAACACAGGCCAACAUAUCAAACCAGACAUGCAAAAGGUUUGAGGCCGCUGGAUAAAUACACAG
ensembl:lncRNA